CUUGCGUCUCUAUAAAUUGGGACUUCGGACCUUUUCCUACGUCUCACAUUGGGUUCUUGUGUGGGUUUUGUAGGGCUACAGAGAGAGUAAGUUGAGGGAUCUUUGUGUGUUGAUUCGCGAUGCACGAUGCAGCGUUCGCAGUUGCAGUAUCAAUUCGGUUAUUUUUUCUUUUCCUUUGGUUUUUGUUCAUUUAUCCUCCGCAAAGCCUUGUUAAGGUCUAUUUGAGUACAAAUGUUUGUUGCAUGUAGCAAUAGGAAAAGGUUGUAGGUUCGCUGUGAAGCGGACGUUUGGAUUUUGACAGAUUCUGCUUCGCCAUGGGGUAUGUUGAUGUUGAGAUACUGUGAUGCACGGUGCACCCCGGUUUUCUCUGAAGAGACCUGUGACGAUCGAAGCCCCAAUGCUUGUGCGGGAUUAAGCUUCCGUUCCGUGUUGCAGGGAGAAUCUACGUGGGAAAGCAGCAACCCAUAUGACAUCAACUAAUACUUCUGAGGCUCCAAUCUUUUACUACUUAAAGUCAUUCUAGCCUCGUUGGUGCCUGUUAUGCGGUAUUUACUGUCAUUUAGUUGCAUGAUUUUAUGGUUUUCUCAAAACACUGUUAUGCGGUAUUUACUGUCAUUUAGUUGCAUGAUUUUAUGGUUUUCUCAAAACAUUAUAUAUCCAUUUGCACUCAUAUCUUCUGGAAGUUGUCUUUGAUGCGUAUGUAUAGUUGGGUAAAAGCAAUUAUUGUCUAUCUUUUCCUACAUACAAUAAUUUAUCCUUCUCUAGGAAGGAUGUUGCAGAUCAGUUUUGUAGAUAGGGCUUGUGUGUUACUAACUUUGUGACCUGUCACAUCGUAGUACCGGGACCAAUUACUCUCAUGAUAUAUCUUUCAGUAUCUUUCUUUAUAAGGUUUUUAGCAUGACAUCUUCUGAAGUCCAUUGCUUACAGUAUCAUUUGUAAUUUUUUAUAUAAUAUUUUGUGAUAUAUGUUAAAUAUUUUCCUUUUUGUUCCUUCAAACAAUUAUCCUUUGAGAACUAGUUUGUUUUGCCUAUCUAGUAUUGCAGUGAUUGUUGACAUUACCUGAGUUUAACUAUCCUCCAGCUGCUCGUUAAUGAUAGGCCUGGAGGCUGAAGAACUCAGAAAUAUUGUGUUGCCAUCAUCUUCAUCUCCUGUCCUAUGAGUUCGGAGUUAAAUAACAACACAAAAUUUUAUAUUUGUAGAUAUGCAUUCUUGGAGUUUGUCAUACGUAUUCAUUUACUUAACAAUUACCUAUAUGAGUUGCCAGUGCUGACCUUCUCUUUGAUGUUGUUUUAUGUGAGCCCUAAAUUGGCAUUCAGGGUAUGGCUGUUAAUGACCUUCUGGUAUUCUGCAACAUGGAGACCGAUCUGUCAAUAUCCAUCGAUGAAUUAGGCAACAACUAUUCUGUGCUCGUCCUGUGCCAGUGUUAUGUUGGUAAAGGGACAUGUACAAGUUUUGGUGGUUCAGAUUCCCUCGAACUUUAUCCAGUUCGAUCAUAUUUCUACCUCUUAUACUUGUGACUAAAUCGAAGCGGAUAGGUGAUAGCGACAUCCAAACAGCAUGCCAUAGUCUUCUUCCUCUGUAGGUGGAAUUGUGAAUGCUCCAAGGCGAUUAAAUCAAGCUCACGAUUGAUUUAACGUUGCCUUCUUUAAGAGUUUCGAGUGCACAGAUGCUUCUUCUAUUAGGUGAAUAACCUAAUAUUGUUAAUUUAAUACAGUGCAUUAAAUAUUGGUAGUAUCAUAUUGACUACAAGUUGUAUGAUGAGAUCUCUGUCAUCAGCCGAGGGGCUGUUUUGGGCAAUACCCUUUUGAGAAGCUUCAUAUUUCUGUAUUAGAAGUAUACUUGGGAAUCGUCUAAAUAGGAAUGUUGUGAGGGACCUGAUCAAAAUUCCCAGGUCUGUGGGCGAUCUCUCUGUAAAAACCGUAAUGGAUCUCCUAUUUAUCUCUUAUUUUA